AAACAGUCCUUAUUUUGCCCUAAGUCCAGCUCUGUCCCACUGCCUUCUUGUUAGUUUUUGCAUCUCCUUACUAAAUGGUAGGUCUGCCUGGGUUCCCACAGCAGUGCUAAUAAACUUUGUUGGCCAGAGGAGGCACCAGGAAAGACUCUCUGUUGGCAACACUCUCUGAAGGGCCCUCUGUUUCUCUUUGGCCUUGUCUCUCGUUCUCCUCAUCCCAGGAGCCUUUUAUGUGAGUUUCCACAGCUCCUCCUCGCACCCUCUCUUCUCUCUGCACUUCUCGUGGCUCCCCCCGAUGUCUUGCACACCAUGCUGUUCAUCCCAAUCUGCUCUGAGCCCCAGACAACCACAUUUCCCCCCUUCUCAGUGAUGGAACCAUCAUCAUUAUCCAAAUUAGGAUUCUAGGAGUCAGAUAGAUAUUUCUCUAUCACCUACCAUAUCCUGUUUGCAAGAUGUCUUGCAAACUUCCCUUCCUGGAAUAGGCUCACUUCACUCCCCCUUCAACAUCCCCAUGGCCUCUGCUCCUAGUCAUUUCAUCCUCUUCCUCUUCUGCUCAGACCUCCACUCUGUUUUCCUCUCCAACUUCUUGGCCUCCACUCUCCUCCUCUCCCUAAAGUCUCCCUCACAUCACCCCAGAGGGAUACCUUCUCCCACCAAGAGCUGACUCUGCCCCUCCCCCUUGCUCUUAAUCCUUCCAUGGCUCCCCAGUGCCCUCAAUAUAAAGUCAAGACUUUUUUUGAUAUGUAAGCCUGCAAGAUACGGCUUGCAACUAUUCUUCCAGAGUCAUCAUGCCUUGAUACCUACCUCUGGGGUCAUUUAGCUGACUACCUGCCCCACAUUUGGACGUCUCUGAACAUUUGUCACCUGGUAGCCCAAUCCUUAAGAGGGGAGAAACAGGCCUGCCAGUCUUGCCCUUCCCCUUUAUCUGUUUGUGCUCAGCUCUGGGGCCCUGGAAAAUGCUCCUCACUCCUCAUUCCCAGGGCAAGUCUCCAUCUAACAUGUAGUAAUAGGUGAAGACAUUUUUGUCUAUUUUGUUCAACAAGAAUCAUACCUGACAU
rnacentral:lncRNA from 1 species